rnacentral:rRNA from 1 species
CCUACGGGUGGCAGCAGUGAGGAAUAUUGGUCAAUGGACGAGAGUCUGAACCAGCCAAGUAGCGUGAAGGAUGACUGCCCUAUGGGUUGUAAACUUCUUUUAUAUGGGAAUAAAACGUUCCACGUGUGGGAUUUUGUAUGUACCAUAUGAAUAAGGAUCGGCUAACUCCGUGCCAGCAGCCGCGGUAAUACGGAGGAUCCGAGUGUUAUCCGGAUUUAUUGGGUUUAAAGGGAGCGUAGGUGGAUUGUUAAGUCAGUUGUGAAAGUUUGCGGCUCAACCGUAAAAUUGCAGUUGAAACUGGCAGUCUUGAGUACAGUAGAGGUGGGCGGAAUUCGUGGUGUAGCGGUGAAAUGCUUAGAUAUCACGAAGAACUCCGAUUGCGAAGGCAGUUCACUGGACUGCAACUGACACUGAGGCUCGAAAGUGUGGGUAUCAAACAGGAUUAGAUACCCCAGUAGUC